rnacentral:rRNA from 1 species
UGGGGAAUUUUGGACAAUGGGCGCAAGCCUGAUCCAGCCAUGCCGCGUGCGGGAAGAAGGCCUUCGGGUUGUAAACCGCUUUUGUCAGGGAAGAAAUCUUCUGAGUUAAUACCUCGGGAGGAUGACGGUACCUGAAGAAUAAGCACCGGCUAACUACGUGCCAGCAGCCGCGGUAAUACGUAGGGUGCAAGCGUUAAUCGGAAUUACUGGGCGUAAACGUGCGCAGGCGGUUUUGUAAGACAGAGGUGAAAUCCCCGGGCUCAACCUGGGAACUGCCUUUGUGACUGCAAGGCUUGAGCGCGGCAGAGGGGGAUGGAAUUCCGCGUGUAGCAGUGAAAUUGCGUAGAUAUGCGGAGGAACACCGAUGGCGAAGGCAAUCCCCUGGGCCUGCACUGACGCUCAUGCACGAAAGCGUGGGGAGCAAAACAGGAUUAGAUACCCUGGUAGUCCACGCCCUAAAACCGAUGUCAACUGGUUGUUGGGAAGGUUCCUUCUCAGUAACGUAGCUAACGCGUGAA